GAUGAACGCUGGCGGCGUGCUUAACACAUGCAAGUCGAGCGAAGCAGUUAAGUUGAUUUCUUCGGAUUGAUUCUUAAUUGACUGAGCGGCGGACGGGUGAGUAACGCGUGGGUGACCUGCCCCAUACCGGGGGAUAACAGCUGGAAACGGCUGCUAAUACCGCAUAAGCGCACAGAGCUGCAUGGCUCCGUGUGAAAAACUCUGGUGGUAUGGGAUGGGCCCGCGUCUGAUUAGGCAGUUGGCGGGGUAACGGCCCACCAAACCGACGAUCAGUAGCCGGCCUGAGAGGGCGACCGGCCACAUUGGGACUGAGACACGGCCCAAACUCCUACGGGAGGCAGCAGUGGGGAAUAUUGCACAAUGGGGGAAACCCUGAUGCAGCGACGCCGCGUGAGCGAAGAAGUAUUUCGGUAUGUAAAGCUCUAUCAGCAGGGAAGAUAAUGACGG
rnacentral:rRNA from 1 species